rnacentral:rRNA from 1 species
GGUUUGAUUCUGGCUCAGAUUGAACCAUGGGAUGCUUUGUUGACAUGCAAGUCGAACGGCAGCACGGACUUCGGUCUGGUGGCGAGUGGCGAACGGGUGAGUAAUGUAUCGGAACGUGCCCAGUAGCGGGGAUAACUACGCGAAAGUGUAGCUAAUACUGCAUACGCCCUUCGGGGAAAGUGGGGACCUCGGGCCUCGCACUAUUAGAGCGGGCUGAUAUCGGAUUAGCUAGUUGGUGGGGUAACGGCUCACCAAGGCGACGAUCCGUAGCUGGUUUGAGAGGACGACCAGCCACACUGGGACUGAGACACGGCCCAGACUCCUACGGGAGGCAGCAGUGAACCUCUGACAAUGGGGGAAACUUGAUCCAGCCAUCCCGCGUGUGCGAUGAAGGCCUUCGGGUUGUAAAGCACUUUUGGCAGAAGAAACGGCACGGGAUAAUACCCCGUGCAACUGACGGUACCUGCAGAAUAAGCAAUCGCCAACACGUGCCAGCAGCCGCGGUAAUACGUAGGGUGCAAGCGUUAAUCGGAAUUACCGGGCGCAAGCGUGCGCAGGCGGUUCGGAAAGAAAGAUGUGAAAUCCCAGAGCUUAACUUUGGAACUGCAUUUUUAACUACCGAGCUAGAGGUCAGAGGGAGGUGGAAUUCCGCGUAGCAGUGAAAUGCGUAGAUAUGCGGAGGAACCACUGAUGGCGAAGGCAGCCUCCUGGGAUAACACUGACGCUCAUGCACGAAAGCGGGGAGCAACAGGAUUAGAUACCCUGGUAGUCCACGCCCUAAACGAUGUCAACUAGCUGUUGGGGCCUUCGGGCCUGGUAGCGCAGCUAACGUGAAGUUGACCGCCUGGGGAGUACGGUCGCAAGAUUAAACCUGUGCUGAAUUGGACGGGGACCUGCACAAGCGGUGGAUGAUGUGGAUUAAUUCUGAUGCACGCGAAAACCUUACCUACCCUUGACAUGUCUGAAUCCCGAAGAGACGUAGAGUGCUCGCAAGAGAACCGAAUACAGGUGCUGCAUGGAUGUCGUUACCGUGUCGUGAGAUGUUAAGUCCCGCAACGAGCAACCUUGUCAUUAGUUAAGCAUGAAAGGCACUCUAAUGACUGCCGGUGACAAACCGAGGAAGGUGGGGAUGACGUCAGUCCGCGGUCUUGCAAGCCACACGUCAUACAAUGGUCGGGACAGAGGGUCGCCAACCCGCGAGGGGGAGCCAAUCCCAGAAACCCAGUUGAUCGUAGUCCGGAUCGCAGUCUGCAACCUCGACUGCGAAGUCUGGAAUCGCUAGUAAUCGCGGAUCAGCAUGUCGCGGUGAAUACGUUCCCGGUCUUGUACACACCGCCCGUCACACCAUGGGAGUGGGUUUUACCAGAAGAAGUUAGCCUAACUGCAUAGAGGGCGAUUACCACGGUAGGAUUCAUGACUGGGGUGAAGUCGUAACAAGGUAA